GAAAAAGUGUGGAAAAUCAAGGAAAACAAGUGAAAAAGGUGGUGAGUCGUCCAAUAAAGGCAAGGAAAUUGCAUCCAAGAACCAGUAAUCAGAGUACUUCGAAAAUCCGCACUCUAGACCUUGCUUGAGGUAGCCUGUGGAUAGCAGAUAUCAUCAGGGAUUAUAGUCGGCUUUAUUACUCCAAAAACUGUAGGUUUACUGCCUUUGUGCACUUUUGUUC